UCAGUUUUGCACAUGGAAGAAGAAGGUCGUUUGCAAAUAGAUGCGAGGGUUGAUUUUGCUUCUUAUCGAAGGAAUCAUCGAUUGUUUAUACUUGCUGAUGUUUAAUAUAUGGACUUAAUUAUUCUAUGCGCAUUUAGAUAUUGUGAGAGAAUACUUAAAUAGUAUUUUGAGAUUUUUGUUGAGUGAUUUAAAUCUGUAAGUUAUGCAGUUUAUAUAGCAGGGAGGUAGGCUGGUAUUAUUUGCUUAUUUUUAAUAUAGUUGUAUUUAUUGUACGGAUAUAUCUGUGUAAUUACCGAAGGAUUUAAACAUUAAAUUGAUUAAUAGCUUUUCUAUUAUACUUUGCAGUUAUCAUAAUGACUAUUUGUUUUGUGACCUGCUACAAUUUAAUCCUAGAGUGUUGAGGUGUUUAUUUGUGUGUUACUGGAAGGUGUACACUUAAACGAGAGGUAAAAGAGCAGGUCGAUAUCCGAAGACAACGUCAAAAACCCAAGGAGUUCCGCAACACAGUCCAGAUGGUACAGCCACACCGCAACGCUACCCAGCCGUUUCAGCCCCGCAACCGGUGAAUCUGAACCCGCAACAACUUGUGGUUGUGGUGAGCCUUGUUGCAGAACACCAUUGUUCCGUGUUUGCGCAGCGAAGGGGCAUUUUGGCUGAUGAUUCGCUGCACUGUCAGACAGUGUUGAAUAAAAUGGAUAUGUGAGCUUGUACACACGAACUCAAACUCCUCGAAUAUAAGUGCUAAAGGUCACGCAUUAUGUGAGGGAGACGUUAGUAUUCUUUUCAGUGCGUCCUACCCAUAUUUGGAUAGUUGGAUGUUCAAUUAUAAAGUCGGUAUUUCGUUACGACAAGGAAUCAGCUGAGGGUUCUCAACUUGUAAUGCAGCGUCAUAAUGCGACCAUACUGUGUCAGAGUCAGGAUGGUAUGAAAUGGCGGCAAGUUAAACCAUUAAUCUUACACUUGUUUCCUUUUGAAGACAAUCAAGGUAUCAUUGUUAUUCAUUGAGUAAUUAACUUAUUUUUCAUAAGAGAGAGCUAGAAAACGCGUUAAUAAUUUCGCUGCUCAUUUGUUUGUUGUUUGUUUUUUAAAUACAUUGGUGGAUACGUUCGUUAACCAGAAAUCGUCGAAUCCGUGACGGGUCUCUUCAACAGGGAUGGGGUGCACUUGUCAUAAUUUGGAAAUAUUUUGUUUUUAUUCACUCUGCAAAACAAGCGUCAGUCCCUUUUAGCAGAAAAUUGU
rnacentral:lncRNA from 1 species